rnacentral:lncRNA from 1 species
GUAGCACCUGCUGCAGAAGAAUUGAAUAGUGGAUACAGAUCUCAAUGAGAUGCUAUCACCUCCAGGACUACCUGCUCCAAGAAUUACUCCCUCCUUAUUCUGAGAGCCUGUGCUCCUGUUCUGGAAGACAGAUCUGACCACUGACGCAGAGCCAUUAAUUGAUCAAAUAAUUUACCCUACUCCUUGAUAAGCCCUGUGAUUCCCUUUAGGAACUCUAGAAUACUAAAUGAGCCGUAAGGAGCCUUAUUAUAUAUUUGAUACAAACACACCUCUGCAUACUGAUGCAGUAGGUGUGGUAAAUAUAUGUAUGUAUGUAUGUAUAUAUAUAACAUAAACCUUUCCAUUUUUAAUCGUACAAUUCAGUUACAUUAAGUGCAUUCACUACUACCCAUUUCCAGAACAUUUCCAUCCCUAACAAAUUCUACCUAUUAAGCAACUCCCCAUUUUCCCUUCCUGUCAUCCCUUAAUAGUCUCCAUUCUACUUCUAUUUCUAUGAAUUUGCCUAUUCUAGAAACUUCAUAUAAGAGGAAUCAUAGACUAUUUGUCCUUGUGUCUGUUUCAUUCAGUACAAUGUCUUCAAAAUUUAUCCAUUAAUCUUGUAACACAUGUCAAGAUUUCAUUCCUUUUUUUGGCUGAAUAAUAUUUCAUUGUAUGAAUAUGUCAUAUUGCGUUGACUCCUUGACCUGGGAAUGGAUACCUGGAUUGUUUCCACCUUUGACUAUUGUAAUUGUCACUGUUAAGAACAUGGAUGUGCAAGUUCCCACUGAAGUCCUCCUUUGGAAACUUUUGGGUGUUGAUGUCCCUACCAUGCCUGAAUUUAAAUUAGAUAAUCAUCUUCCAGGUCUUUCUUCUUAGUAAAGAGCACCUGGCACUUCCAUUUUACAGGUGCAGAAACUGAGCAGCAGAUCAGGGAUGGAUGCUAGAACUGGAAGCUAGGUGUAUGGUGCAAGGUCUUCACACUAGCUGGGAAUCUCCUAGGGACAGACGUCAUGUCCAUUUGCUGUUGCAACUCUAGGAAAAAUGCCCAGGAUGUAGUCAGUAUAUUUUGAAAGAAUAAAUGAAUCUCUCUGUGUGUGGUUUAUAUGCUAACAGAGCCUUUUGAAUAAAC